CUCUUUCUGAACAGAGAGCACUCGCACUGCACAUCCAACCUGUGCACUGUUGUCAUGGGAACGUGCCAGCUCAGCUGUGGUGGUGACAGUGACUGUACCGUUGGUGUUGUUGACUCUGACAGUGUUGUGGUGUGAGAGGUGUAGUUGUGUGACAGUCAGUGUUACUGUUGGAGCAGGUCGUCCUGUGGCCGAGCAGGACACAACUGACUCUUCAGCAGAGUCUGAUUCUCUCACAUGGAGAAUGGGUUCAUGCAGCUC